GAACAAACCUCUUUUAUUUAGAGAGGCUGAAAUGAGUAUAUGCUAAUUAGAACAGCUAGGUUGUAUAAAAAAGAACUUGAAAAUUCCUUUUUGGUGUUCUCCAAGAGUUAGAUUUCAUUAUACAGGCUUUUUCUUCAGGCCUGAAAAAUAACAUACAACUGAUUUUUAACAAAUAAUUGCCCCCUUUCCCAUGUUUAGAAGUCCUUAUGAUUCCUCAGUUCCUUCUGGAACAAACUUUUCUCGUCUCCAGCCGGCCCCAGUGGGCUCACCUUUACAAACUCUGGGACUAGGAGAAAGUAAUGCUUGAAUGCUUCUUCACUAGGACCUAUACAUUUUUAUAAUCACAGAAAGUGUGGCUGAAUAUAUCCCAAAGGUGACAAGGUUUAAAUCUGGGGGUUGUAAUUUGGAGGCCAAGUAUCUUACUUAAACAGUUUUGUACUCUUUGAAAUGAAUUUUAAACUUCUGUAAUACAAAACUUAAAAAUAGGAAAACAAUAUGAAGGAGAUUCUAAAUGCCAAAUGAGUAAAUAAUAGAGAUAGUUUUGGACUGUAGAAAUUCAGGGAGGGCUCGAGUUUGGCUGGGGUGACCAAAAAGGCUUUCCAAGAUAAAACAGAGCAUCAAAGAUGUUUUGACGCUCAAGUUUUCCACAGAGAAAAACAAAAGCAGGAGAAUGCUUGUUGUCUUUGGAGGAUAACAAGAUGAUCUGCAAUAGCAGGCACUAAAUUUGGCAAUGAGGUGCCAGCGUGGGGCUCUGAGAGUAGCUCAGAGCCGACGCCGAUAAUGUGGUGUUUUA
rnacentral:lncRNA from 1 species